AGAGUUUGAUCCUGGCUCAGGAUAAACGCUGGCGGCGCACAUAAGACAUGCAAGUCGAACGGAAGUCGUUAUAAAAAGGAUUGAAGAUUUAUCUGAUUGAGAUUUAACUGGCUUUAGUGGCGGACUGGUGAGUAACGCGUGAGCAACCUGCCUACUAGAGGGGAAUAACAGUGAGAAAUCAUUGCUAAUACCGCAUAUGCCAUGAACAUCACAUGAUGAAAAUGGAAAAAGAGUAAUCUGCUAGUAGAUGGGCUCGCGUCUGAUUAGAUAGUUGGUGGGGUAACGGCCUACCAAGUCGACGAUCAGUAGCCGGACUGAGAGGUUGAACGGCCACAUUGGGACUGAGAUACGGCCCAGACUCCUACGGGAGGCAGCAGUCGGGAAUAUUGCGCAAUGGAGGAAACUCUGACGCAGUGACGCCGCGUAUAGGAAGAAGGUUUUCGGAUUGUAAACUAUUGUCGUUAGGGAAGAUAAAAGACAGUACCUAAGGAGGAAGCUCCGGCUAACUACGUGCCAGCAGCCGCGGUAAUACGUAGGGAGCAAGCGUUAUCCGGAUUUAUUGGGUGUAAAGGGUGCGUAGACGGGACAACAAGUUAGUUGUGAAAUCCCUCGGCUUAACUGAGGAACUGCAACUAAAACUAUUGUUCUUGAGUGUUGGAGAGGAAAGUGGAAUUCCUAGUGUAGCGGUGAAAUGCGUAGAUAUUAGGAGGAACACCGGUGGCGAAGGCGACUUUCUGGACAAUAACUGACGUUGAGGCACGAAAGUGUGGGGAGCAAACAGGAUUAGAUACCCUGGUAGUCCACACCGUAAACGAUGGAUACUAGGUGUAGGAAAUGAUUUCAUUUUCUGUGCCGUCGCAAACGCAAUAAGUAUCCCACCUGGGGAGUACGGCCGCAAGGUUGAAACUCAAAGGAAUUGACGGGGGCCCGCACAAGCAGUGGAGUAUGUGGUUUAAUUCGAAGCAACGCGAAGAACCUUACCAGGGCUUGACAUAUAGAUGAAUAACUAAGAGAUUAGUUAGUCCUUCGGGACAUCUAUACAGGUGGUGCAUGGUUGUCGUCAGCUCGUGUCGUGAGAUGUUGGGUUAAGUCCUGCAACGAGCGCAACCCCUGUGAUUAGUUGCCAACAGGUUAAGCUGGGAACUCUAAUCAGACUGCCGGUGAUAAAUCGGAGGAAGGUGGGGAUGACGUCAAAUCAUCAU
rnacentral:rRNA from 1 species